rnacentral:lncRNA from 1 species
AACUCUUAACAAUAACAAAGAAAUGCAUAAAGCUCAAAACAUCAGCCCCAAAACUCAUCGAUACAGUGGAAUUUAUAUUGCAAUGUCAAUAGUCAAAAAACAAAAGUGCAACAAUAAGAGGUUUCGCAUCUGUUUUCGGGCAGAAACAGGGACAAACGGACUUAACGACCGAACUUUCACCACCUAGGCUCGAUUCCGAUCACUGGAAUUCCAGCAAAUCGUCGAAUUUUGAUUCUUUUCUUUGAAGGUUCCCAGAAGAUUUUCGAUUACGUGAGAUUAGAGGGUGAGCCUCCAGAAUCUCCAAAUUUUUUCUCAAAAAUCUUUAUUUUACUGCCCUUGCCUUCUUCCCCUCAAUCUCUUUUACAGGAGAAGAUAUUGAUAUUUUUUUCAUCUUUAAAAUAGAGAAACAUAUCCCUAAAUUUCGGACUUGAAUUGACACUACUGAUUUGGAUUGAAUUUUGGAAUGGAAGACACACAAUCUUGAGCUCAAAAGUCAACAACGAUGGCUCUAGAUCUGCAAAAUGUAAAAAUAAGAUGAAAAGAGAGAUUUUCCAUGAUUUGGGGGUUUGAAGGGUUGAAUUUUUUGUCUUCACGGAUCGGGUUGCCAUCGGAUUCGGGUUUACCCAUUGAAGUUGUUGCUGUUCGAUAUUGUUGUUUUAGUUCUUGCAGGUUGAAAGCUGUUGUUGUUCGUUGUUCUUGCUGUUGAGAGUUGUUGACGUUGAUAUUGUUCUUAAUGUUUUGGGUUUGUGUUUGUUGUUCGUUGUUCGUUGUAGGCGGUGGUGUGUAUUACAGAUUAAGGGAGAUAAAGGGAAAUUAGGAGUUGGCCGGGUCAGCUUAAGUUGCUGUGGAGUGGGUUGUUUCA